CAGCCGCCGCGGGAAAACGUAGGUCCCGAGCGUUGUCCGGAUUUAUUGGGCGUAAAGCGUGCGCAGGCGGUUCGUUAAGACAGAUGUGAAAUCCCCGGGCUUAGCCUGGGAACUGCAUUUGUGACUGGCGAGCUAGAGUAUGGCAGAGGGGGGUAGAAUUCCACGUGUAGCAGUGAAAUGCGUAGAGAUGUGGAGGAAUACCGAUGGCGAAGGCAGCCCCCUGGGCCAAUACUGACGCUCAUGCACGAAAGCGUGGGGAGCAAACAGGAUUAGAGACCCCCGUAGUCCCUGUCUCUUAUAU
rnacentral:rRNA from 1 species